UUUCAGCUGAAUCAGCAGCGGCCAAGACCAGCUCGGGGCUUAGGUUUCCGACAUAAGAUCCGUCCAAAACGUUGGGCUGUCCCAACGCUUUAAGAGCGAGAUGUGCCGCCUUCUGUCCAGAUAUCAUCAUAGCUCCAAAAGUAGGUCCCUGCAUCACAAAUCCACUCAGGAUAUGUUUUCAAAAACUUAUGGAUCUUUGAAUCAUAGAUUUGUCAAAAAAAAAAAACUCACCAUCCUUGGAGCGCCAUCGAUCUCAGCAACUUCCAUACCGGUAACAAUCAUACCGGGAACAACCUCUCUGGUCAAUCUCACAAUCGCGUCCUCAGCUGUGUUCAUGUCCAGAGCUUUCAUCCCAGGAACAUGGUCGAUUAACCCAAUGCUCUUGAGCCUCUUAACACCUGUGGCUCCAAAUGGACCGUCAUGGCCACACGAGCUCACGACAAUCUUGGCCUCCAUGACAUUAGGGUCCAUGCAGGACUGUGUGUCGUGGUUCAUCGACACUAGAGCCCAGUUGGUAACCACACCAGCGACUCUGUUACCUUUCACGAUCAGAUCCUCUGCGGCUACGGCGUUGAAGAGCUUGACGUUGGGACGAGCCAAAAGCUUGCUCAUGAUGGUUGAUGUGAAGAGAGCAGCGUGCUUGAUCACCACGUAGUUGUCUUGUUCGUCGUAAGCAACACCAAUCUCAUCUAGGAACAGAUGUGCUGGUUUGCGCACAAUCUGUCAAAAUAUGAAAUAUCACAACAAUUCUUAACUAGUCUAAUAUCACAAUAUCAUCGAAUGAUUUUGACAUUAAAUAUUUAAUUUUGUUAAGUUUCCUGGACUUCCAAUAUAAAACUAAUUGGCUAUAAAUGGAGAAAUUCAAGUCCCUUAUAUACUAGUGUUGGUCUCUUUAAACUUACGAUGUGGGAUUCUAACAAAUUUCUUCUAAAUUGGGAUUUAAUUAGUUAUAGUGAUUCCUCUUAUACCUAACUCGUACAUUACGAAUCUCCAGAUUCUGAACUGAUCUAACAUGCAAAUCAACCUAAAUCCUUCAAAUACGAUACAGAGAGAGAGAGAUUUUUGGAUCGUUACCAUGGCGGAGAAAAGCUGACCACCGAGCCACGCGCCACCUCCGGGACUAACGGAUUGUUCAAUGAUCGCGACCUGAACGUUAGGGUUCUUACUGAUCUCGUAAGCACAGGAUAAUCCGGCGGAUCCAGCACCGACAACGACGACGUCGGUCUCGGCGUAAGUGAUCAUAUCAGUCAUGUACCGCCUGGUCAUCUCACGAGAGACGAUCGAUUCCUUUAUGGGAUCGAAAGUGAAGGCGUUUAGAUCGUAGCCAGAAGUGGCGCGAACGGAAAGAGAGGCAGAUCGUGGUUUGAGACCGACGGAGAUAGGUGCGGCCGAGAUUGAUGAGCCAUGGAAGGAGGAGUCGAAAAGCCUUUGAGGCUUGGUGGAAGAGAGAGAGAGAGUGGAAGUAAUGGCCGCCAUUUGAGAGAAAGAGGAAGGUUUUAGUUUCAGGUAUUAGUGAUGAUGAUG
rnacentral:lncRNA from 1 species